rnacentral:rRNA from 1 species
UACGUAGGGUGCAAGCGUUGUCCGGAAUUAUUGGGCGUAAAGAGCCUGUAGGCGGUUUGUCGCGUCUGCUGUGAAAUUUCGGGGCUCAACCCCGAACUUGCAGUGGGUACGGGCAGACUAGAGUGUGGUAGGGGAGACUGGAAUUCCUGGUGUAGCGGUGAAAUGCGCAGAUAUCAGGAGGAACACCGAUGGCGAAGGCAGGUCUCUGGGCCACUACUGACGCUGAGAAGCGAAAGCAUGGGGAGCGAACAGG